rnacentral:rRNA from 1 species
GAUGAACGCUAGCGGCAGGCCUAACACAUGCAAGUCGAGGGGCAGCACGAUAGGAGCUUGCUUUUAUUGGUGGCGACCGGCGCACGGGUGCGUAACACGUAUGUAACCUACCCUAUACUGGAGGAUAACCCGGAGAAAUUCGGACUAAUACUCCAUGCGUUUGGAAGAGGCAUCUUUUCCAGAUGAAAGAUUAAUCGGUAUAGGGUGGACAUGCGUAACAUUAGGUAGUUGGAGAGGUAACGGCUCCCCAAGCCUACGAUGUUUAGGGGUUCUGAGAGGAAUGUCCCCCACACUGGUACUGAGACACGGACCAGACUCCUACGGGAGGCAGAAGUGAGGAAUAUUGGUCAAUGGUCGGAAGACUGAACCAGCCAUGCCGCGUGCAGGAAGACGGCUCUAUGAGUUGUAAACUGCUUUUGACAGGGAAUAACAGCUCCUACGUGUAGGGGUAUGCAUGUACCUGUGGAAUAAGGAUCGGCUAACUCCGUGCCAGCAGCCGCUGUAAGAC